GCUUUAUAUUGUUAUUGGUUUUAUUUAUGUAGAAGUAAUUGAAUUGAAUUGAUAAGGGUAUUUUGUUGGGGUGACAGGAAGAUAAGAAAAACUCUUUUUAGAAUUUAAAUCAUUGAUGUGUGAGCUAUUGAUCCGUUAUUAAUGAUUAUAAGACUAAGU
rnacentral:rRNA from 1 species